UCUAAACCAGGUCACCUGGCAUCUUUCUAUGUAUCAAUUUUCCUCACUGUGGAGCAUGGUACUGAGUUGUGUGCAGCAAAAGAAAAAAAAAAAAAAAAAGAUGGUUGUAAAGUUCUUUGAUUACACAAAUCACUAAAUAAUAGCAUUUAAUUAUUUAUAACGUGUUUUGAGAUCUCAGGUUGAAAGCUGUGGCGGCUGCAGCGUGUUAUUAACUGGUUGUCGGCAACCUUUGUUCAGGUAAUAGACUUAAUUACUACAUUAAUUGGAUACGGUGGAGGAGAGGAGUGAAGGACCUCCGAGCUUCUCUCCACCCACUUCCCAGCUCUCCCUGGCCAGUCCAGCUGGGGGAGUGUGUCCACCUGUUCUGGAUCCUUUUCCUUACCUGUGGUCCUUCCUUUCAGCGCACCCGGCCUGCCGCUCCACCGUGGUUAUCUUUCAGGAGUGCACUGUGAGCGAGCGUUUCCUGGGCUUCUAGGGGUUGAUGAGGCUGCUCUCCUUUGUCCCUGUGUAUCAAUCACCAGCUCUAAUUAGACUGUAAACAAACUCCUCCCCCCACGUCCCCGCAAAGCUUGUUGCAGGUCACGUGGCCAAUAUGUAAAUCUACGACCCUGGAGCAGUUUAAUGGCCGUGGUGACCGCAGUUAGUAACUCAGGCUCUCCUAUAAAUGGAAAAUAAAAACAACAACCCAUUACGGAUGAUGGUUGUCCCUUCUCUCUGCCCUGGCCCGCACAACUGCAGGCUCAGAAGAACUCCACCUACCCUUCCCAGGGGAUUUUUAUCUGGCUCCGUCUCUCGCCUGUGGGCGGGGCUAGCGUCUUACCCGAGUCUUCCUCCGCCCUCCUUCUGAAGACUGUGUGCAUGCCCAGGGGCUGAUCUGGGUCACUGCGGUCCUGUUGCCUCCUUUCCUUGGUGCGACCAGUUUCAGAAGGACAGCCUGACCGAGUGGAAAUCUAAGUGCUCUGAUCAUGGCGAUGUUUGCCUGUUUUAGUGACUGCUGUGUCGCCAGCAUCUAGAGCUGCGUCUGGUGUGUGCUGUUGUUGAGUCCCUAGGUCGCCUCCGACUCUGUGAGCCCAUGGACUGCAGCACGGCCAGGCCUCCCUGUCCCUCACCUGUCUUCUGGAGUUCACUCAAGUUCAUGGUCAUUGAAUCCGCGAGGCUGUCCAACCGUCUCAUCCUCUGCCGCCCUGGUGUGUAGUAGAUGCUCAGUAACUUUUUGGAAUGAAGCAAUAAAUGAAUAAGUGAAAUCUCUGGAAUUG
rnacentral:lncRNA from 1 species